CAAAAACUCUCUCAAAAAUUUCAUUCCCCCUCUCUCUAAAAACUUCCAAACCUUGAGCUUCCCUCCUUCCCAUCGCCGGCCGCAUCCCCCCUUCAUCGACGGCGUCUACAUCCUGACGGCGCCAACCCCUGUUCGAACCCGGCACGGGCUACCACUUGUUCGACGGCGUCGGGAUGAUCCACUCCGUCAGGAUCCGCAACGGCCAGGCCUCUUCCGCUUGGUCGACCCCUCGCACGGGACUAGCGUCGCCAACGCCGGCCUCAUCAAGGGUCAAAAUUGAUUCCUCCACUUUAGACAAGCUCUCUUCUCAAUCGAAGAAACCCUCUUCGAUCUCUCCCCCCAAAACCCUACCACCAACAAACCCUAAAUUUCUAACCAUUAAUUUCUGCAGCAAUGGCCAUUUAGCCAUUAAUUUCUCUAAAGGAGGUUAUGGGAGUUAAGGAAUGAAGUAUUGAUUUUGUUGAUGAUGGUUCUUGAAUGGAUUUGCUUAUAAGUUUCGCUAAACUAAACUAUUUUGUAGUUCACCACAGUUCACUUGUAAUAGCUGUGCUCCUAGUUGUAUAGGGAGGUCGUAAUUAGUGGUACUGAGGAAUGAGAACUUCACCUUUUUAGAUUUACCCGCUAUUAUUCUGUUAAAAGAGAAUUAAAUAUGGAUUUCUUGUACAUGCUUCAAGUUUUUGCAUAGAUAUUUAUAUGUAUCAGCAGACUAUGUUGAGGGGAAGGAGCUGGGAGGAGAAUUCAGGGGAGGGGAAGGAGAAGGGGAAGAGUAAGGUUGAUCAGCAUGCUAUUUUGAGGACCCAGGUACUAUACGAUUAUUGAAGCCGAUCACAUCUUUUUUAUUGUAAAUCAAGAGAGAGCAGGAGUACAGUUUAGCAAUUUGAAUUAGAAGCCCUUAAUAUGCUGAGUGUAAUACUAAUUAUGACUUGAAGCAUUGAAAGUUCUCUGCGGCUCCGAUUGUAAAUAAACAUAUAAAUAGAAAAGUAGUUAUUAUCUAUGUAAACAAUUUAUGUAUCGCGUUCCUUUUUGUUAAUAGAGAUUAUUAGACCUGUUUGCCGAUGCACUGACAUCCAUUGUAAAUAAUUUAUGUAAAAGUUUGUAAACAAUUUAUGUAUUAUUUGAAUAUAAUUGGAUUUGAUAUUGGAA